UUCUACGACAAAGUAAAGGAAACGCUGAAAACUUGAACCUGCUUUUCUUCAGCUGCCGCGGCCCUCUAACUAGCCUGCUUGUUUUCUUUCUCUGCUGGUCCCUGUGCAGGCUUCUCUCUCUAUCUCUCUCUCUCUCUCCCUCUCCUUUUCGUCUCCCUCUCUUUCUCUGGGCUGUCUGUAAGAGGAUCACUUUGUUUCCGUUGCCUUUUUCCGCGGUGCUGCAGACACACAUUGAGGGGAGGAUUGGAUUUGAGGGGAUACUGACGGGGUUGCACAGCUGCAACAGUCCCCUCCAUCUCCACAGCAGGACUAAUACCCCCCUCCCUCCCUUUCUCUCUCUCUCUCUCUCUCUCUCUCUCUCUCUCUCUCUCUCUCUCUCUCUCGCUCUCCCUGUCUCUCUCUCCCUCUCGCUCAGUCUCUCUCUCUCUUUCUCUCUCCCCUGUGUGUUUGACUCUCCCUCUGUCGCACUUUCUGCUUCUGCCGAUCGAAGGGGUGGGGGUGCCAUAUGGGAGCUUAGAAAAAUGGAAGUUGAUCGGAGCAAGACAAGAGAGGAAUCUCCCAUUCUUGGGCUCAGAUGUCGGGAUCUAUGUGAGAGAUGAUCUAAAAAGCCAGGCAGCGAAACCCAAUGAGCAAGACACAUCUGCGAAGGGAGCCCCGGCAGUUGUCUCUCUUUCCCUGCGCUCAGAGAGUGAUGAGGAGGAAGAGGAAGAAGAAGGUUAGAGCGGUGGGGGGGGGGG